rnacentral:rRNA from 1 species
UGCGAGUGAAGCGGGAAAAGCUCAAAUUUAAAAUCUGGCGGUCUUUGGCCGUCCGAGUUGUAGUCUGGAGAAGUGCUUUCCGCGCUGGACCGUGUAUAAGUCUCUUGGAACAGAGCGUCAUAGAGGGUGAGAAUCCCGUCUUUGACACGGACUACCAGUGCUUUGUGAUGCGCUCUCAAAGAGUCGAGUUGUUUGGGAAUGCAGCUCAAAAUGGGUGGUAAAUUCCAUCUAAAGCUAAAUAUUGGCGAGAGACCGAUAGCGAACAAGUACCGUGAGGGAAAGAUGAAAAGCACUUUGGAAAGAGAGUUAAACAGUACGUGAAAUUGCUGAAAGGGAAACGCUUGAAGUCAGUCGCGUCUGCCGGAACUCAGCCUUGCUUUUGCUUGGUGCACUUUCCGGUUGACGGGCCAGCAUCGAUUUUGACCGUCGGAAAAGGGCUAGGGAAAUGUGGCACCUUCGGGUGUGUUAUAGUCUCUAGUCGCAUACGGCGGUUGGGAUCGAGGACCGCAGCGCGCCGCAAGGCAGGGGUUCGCCCACUUUCGCGCUUAGGAUGCUGGCAUAAUGGCUUUAAACGACCCGUCUUGAAACACGGACCAAGGAGUCUAACAAACCUGCGAGUGUUUGGGUGGUAAACCCGAGCGCGUAAUGAAAGUGAAAGUUGAGACCUCUGUCGUGGAGGGCAUCGACGCCCGGACCUGACGUUCUCUGAAGGAUCCGCGGUAGAGCAUGUUUGUUGGGACCCGAAAGAUGGUGAACUAUGCCUGAAUAGGGUGAAGCCAGAGGAAACUCUGGUGGAGGCUCGUAGCGAUUCUGACGUGCAAAUCGAUCGUCAAAUUUGCGUAUAG